AUUGAACGCUGGCGGCAGGCCUAACACAUGCAAGUCGAGCGGAUGAAGGUAGCUUGCUACCUGAUUCAGCGGCGGACGGGUGAGUAAUGCCUAGGAAUCUGCCUGGUAGUGGGGGACAACGUUUCGAAAGGAACGCUAAUACCGCAUACGUCCUACGGGAGAAAGUGGGGGAUCUUCGGACCUCACGCUAUCAGAUGAGCCUAGGUACGAUUAGCUAGUUGGUGAGGUAAAGGCUCACCAAGGCGACGAUCGUUAACUGGUCUGAGAGGAUGAUCAGUCACACUGGAACUGAGACACGGUCCAGACUCCUACGGGAGGCAGCAGUGGGGAAUAUUGGACAAUGGGCGAAAGCCUGAUCCAGCCAUGCCGCGUGUGUGAAGAAGGUCUUCGGAUUGUAAAGCACUUUAAGUUGGGAGGAAGGGCAGUAAGUUAAUACCUUGCCGUUUUGACGUUACCGACAGAAUAAGCACCGGCUAACUUCGUGCCAGCAGCCGCCGUAAUAC
rnacentral:rRNA from 1 species